UGCCAGGCUGCUCAGCACCCAGAUAAAGCCACCAUGGCCACCAUAGAGUCCUAUUGCUGCCACCUCAGAGGAGGUUUUGGAGGCUGCAGGUCAGUUGUCAUCAAUGUACCAAUGUCACUUCACAGCAAAUCGCAAUCAUCAUAAUUGCUGCUGUCAUUCAGAUGCUGCAGUGUCCAGAGAAGGAACAGAAAUGGUUUGACAUGAAAUCUAAAUAAAAGCUUUGCAUUUGCAAGAGCAA